rnacentral:rRNA from 1 species
AUCGAACGCUGGCGGCAGGCUUAACACAUGCAAGUCGAGCGGAGCGGCGGACGGGUGUGUAAUGCCUAGGAAUCUGCCUGGUAGCGGGGGAUAACGACCGGAAACGGGCGCUAAUACCGCAUACUAUCAGAUGAGCCUAGGUCGGAUUAGCUAGUUGGUGGGGUAAAGGCCUCCCAAGGCGACGAUCCGUAACUGGUCUGAGAGGAUGAUCAGUCACACUGGGACUGGGACAGGGUCCAGACUCCUACGGGGAGCAGCAGUGGGGAAUAUUGGACAAUGGGCGAAAGACUGAUCCAGCCAGGCCGCGUGUGUGAAGAAGGUCUUCGGAUUGUAAAGCACGUUAAGUUGGGAGGCGUUACCAACAGAAUAAGCACCGGCUAACUUCGGGCCAGCAGCCGCGGUAAUAC